UACGGGGGGGGGUAAGCGUUGUUCGGAAUUACUGGGCGUAAAGGGCUCGUAGGCGGCCAACUAAGUCAGACGUGAAAUCCCUCGGCUUAACCGGGGAACUGCGCUUGAUACUGGAUGGCUUGAGAUUGGGAGAGGGAUGCGGAAUUCCAGGUGUAGCGGUGAAAUGCGUAGAUAUCUGGAGGAACACCGGUGGCGAAGGCGGCAUCCUGGACCACACUGACGCUGAGGAGCGAAAGCCAGGGGGAGCAAACGGG
rnacentral:rRNA from 1 species